UUAACAUCCAAUCUCUCUCACUGGCACGCAGACAGUUAAUAAAACAAGUCUGCAGCAUGUAAAAAAAGUUAAAUAUCUGGCACUCAAAUGGUUAACGUUGAAACACUCGGGCACAAAAUUACACCUAUAUCCUCUAUGGCGAGCAAACAGUUAAUAUUGUAUCUCUCUGGCACACAAACCGUUAAUAACCUAACCUAGUAUUUCAUCCCUCUGGCACAGAAAGAGUUAAUAAAACACUCCUGUCAGACCAUGUAUCUACUAAAAGAAAAAUGUUUCUUACCUGAAACACACAG